rnacentral:rRNA from 1 species
UUCCAGACUCCUACGGGAGGCAGCAGUGAGGAAUAUUGGUCAAUGGCCGAGAGCCUGAACCAGCCAAGUCGCGUGAGGGAAGACGGUCCUAUGGAUUGUAAACCUCUUUUGCCGGGGAGCAAAGGCGGGGACGUGUCCCGGCCCGGAGAGUACCUGAAGAAAAAGCAUCGGCUAACUCCGUGCCAGCAGCCGCGGUAAUACGGAGGAUGCGAGCGUUAUCCGGAUUUAUUGGGUUUAAAGGGUGCGUAGGCGGAAUGCCAAGUCAGCGGUAAAAUCGCGGGGCUCAACCUCGCUCCGCCGUUGAAACUGGCGUUCUUGAGUGGGCGAGAAGUAUGCGGAAUGCGUGGUGUAGCGGUGAAAUGCAUAGAUAUCACGCAGAACUCCGAUUGCGAAGGCAGCAUACCGGCGCCCAACUGACGCUGAAGCACGAAAGCGUGGGUAUCGAACAGGAUUAGAUACCCCAGUA